AGAGUUUGAUCAUGGCUCAGGACGAACGCUGGCGGCGUGCUUAAAACAUGCAAGUCGAACGGUGGUAGCAAUACCACAGUGGCGAACGGCGGAGUAAUACGUGAACAACGUGCCCUAAAGACUGGGAUAGUCGCGGGAAACUGCGGGUAAUACCAGAUGUGGCUCCAAUCCGGCAUCGGGAUGGAACUAAAUGGUUUUUCGCUUUGGGAGCGGUUCACGGCCUAUCAGGUAGUUGGUGGGGUAAUGGCCUACCAAGCCGACGACGGGUAGCGGGUCUGAGAGGAUGGUCCGCUCGAUUGGGACUGAGACACGGCCCACACACCUACGGGUGGCAGCAGUUGGGAAUCUUGCACAAUGGGGGAAACCCUGAUGCAGCGACGCCGCGUGGAGGAUGAAGGCUCUAGGGUCGUAAACUCCUUUUUUCGGGAAAGACUUAGGACGGUACCCGAAGAAUAAGCACCGGCUAACUACGUGCCAGCAGCCGCGGUAAGACGUAGGGUGCAAGCGUUGUCCGGAUUUACUGGGCGUAAAGCGCGCGUAGGCGGCUUGUUAAGUGUGAAGUGAAAGCUCCGGGCUCAACUCGGAAAUUGCUUCGCAUACUGGCUAGCUUGAGGGAUGCAGAGGUUUGUGGAAUUCCUGGUGUAGCGGUGAAAUGCGUUGAUAUCAGGAGGAACACCCAUGGCGAAGGCAGCAAACUGGGCAUUACCUGACGCUGAGGCGCGAAAGCGUGGGGAGCAAACAGGAUUAGAUACCCUGGUAGUCCACGCCCUAAACGAUGGAUACUAGGCGUAGGAGGUAUCGACCCCUCCUGUGCCGCAGCUAACGCAAUAAGUAUCCCGCCUGGGGACUACGGCCGCAAGGUUGAAACUCAAAGGAAUUGACGG
rnacentral:rRNA from 1 species